AUGCAUGUCUAAGUAUAAGCAAUUAUACGGCGAAACUGCGAAUGGCUCAUUAAAUCAGUUAUCGUUUAUUUGAUAGUACCUUACUACAAGGAUAACCGUGGUAAUUCUAGAGCUAAUACUUGCAAAAAAUCCCGACUUCGGAAGGGAUGUAUUUAUUAGAUUAAAAACCAAUGCCCUUCGGGGCUCUCUGGUGAUUCAUAAUAACUUCUCGAAUCGCAUGGCCUUGCGCCGGCGAUGGUUCAUUCAAAUUUCUGCCCUAUCAACUUUCGACGGCUGGGUCUUGGCCAGCCGUGGUGACAACGGGUAACGGAGAGUUAGGGCUCGACUCCGGAGAAGGAGCCUGAGAAACGGCUACUACAUCCAAGGAAGGCAGCAGGCGCGCAAAUUACCCAAUACCGACACGGUGAGGUAGUGACAAUAAAUACUGAUACAGGGCUCUUUUGGGUCUUGUAAUUGGAAUGAGUACAAUUUAAAUCCCUUAACGAGGAACAAUUGGAGGGCAAGUCUGGUGCCAGCAGCCGCGGUAAUUCCAGCUCCAAUAGCGUAUAUUAAAGUUGUUGCGGUUAAAAAGCUCGUAGUUGAACCUUGGGCCUGGCUGGCCGGUCCGCCUCACCGCGUGCACUGGUCCGGCCGGGCCUUUCCCUCUGGGGAACCGCAUGCCCUUCACUGGGUGUGUCGGGGAACCAGGACUUUUACUUUGAAAAAAUUAGAGUGUUCAAAGCAGGCCUAUGCUCGGAUACAUUAGCAUGGAAUAAUAGAAUAGGACGUGCGGUUCUAUUUUGUUGGUUUCUAGGACCGCCGUAAUGAUUAAUAGGGACAGUCGGGGGCAUCAGUAUUCAAUUGUCAGAGGUGAAAUUCUUGGAUUUAUUGAAGACUAACUACUGCGAAAGCAUUUGCCAAGGAUGUUUUCAUUAAUCAGGAACGAAAGUUAGGGGAUCGAAGACGAUCAGAUACCGUCGUAGUCUUAACCAUAAACUAUGCCAACUAGGGAUCGGACGAUGUUAUUUUUUGACUCGUUCGGCACCUUACACGAAAGUACAAGUUUUUGGGUUCCGGGGGGAGUAUGGUCGCAAGGCUGAAACUUAAAGAAAUUGACGGAAGGGCACCACCAGGAGUGGAGCCUGCGGCUUAAUUUGACUCAACACGGGGAAACUCACCAGGUCCAGACACGAUGAGGAUUGACAGAUUGAGAGCUCUUUCUUGAUUUCGUGGGUGGUGGUGCAUGGCCGUUCUUAGUUGGUGGAGUGAUUUGUCUGCCUAAUCGCGAUAACGAACGAGACCUUGACCUGCUAAAUAGCCCAUAUUGCUUUGGCAGUAUGCUGGCUUCUUAGAGGGACUAUCGGCUCAAGCCGAUGGAAGUUCGAGGCAAUAACAGGUCUGUGAUGCCCUUAGAUGUUCUGGGCCGCACGCGCGUUACACUGACAGAGCCAGCGAGUUCUUCCUUGGCUGAAAAGCCCGGGUAAUCUUGUUAAACUCUGUCGUGCUGGGGAUAGAGCAUUGCAAUUAUUGCUCUUCAACGAGGAAUUCCUAGUAAGCGUAAGUCAUCAACUUGCGCUGAUUACGUCCCUGCCCUUUGUACACACCGCCCGUCGCUACUACCGAUUGAAUGGCUCAGUGAGGCUUUCGGACUGGCCCAGAGAGGUGGGCAACUACCACUCAGGGCCGGAAAGUUAUCCAAACUCGGUCAUUUAGAGGAA
rnacentral:rRNA from 1 species